UCAGCUCUCCCGACGGCGACGACGACCCCAUCCCGUGCUCCUCGGGGACGAUGCCCUGAAAACAAAACAACCAGACGCCAUGUCAUCCACCGUAACGUAAAUACGUGCAUGAUCCGUAAUCAUCAGGCCGUGACGGAGAUAUCAAGUGGAAGCCUCGGAAUGCGCGAAAGGGUUUCGUCGUCGCUGCAUGCAUGGUCCCAUGCAUGGAAUGGAAGAUGUUGUCUAGGGUUUCCCAGAGCUAGCAGCCGGCCUAAAGUACAAACUGCAACAAUGCAUAGCUUAGGCCAUCAUCAAUGCAAGUUUUAUAAGCACAAUUACCUAGAGUGGUAUGUCAUCUUAACAGUUUGAAACUAAGAUAAAACAUCACUCUCUUAAUGCAUAUUGUUGUUUACUAGGUUACAUGUAAGACAUAAGGUGUCUAUGUAAUAAAAGGUUUUAUCUCUAUGAAACUAAUUCCAUCUCUCUCUUUAUUAAUAUUUUAUCACAUCAUCAAACAUGUAUACAUGACAACCUAUUUAUUGCCUAUGAAACUCUCACUGAAACUGGUUUUAUGAUGGAGGCAUCAAGUUGGAUUAAAGCAUAGAUUUGGGCUCGAUCCUAGGGCAGACCGUCCUUUAGAUUCACAUCGAUCUCACUUGGGUCUGUUUGUCUUUACAUCACGUGCUAAAGGUACAGCAAAUAUAUGUGAUUUUUGCAUUGGUGAUAGGGCCCAAUUGUACUUGUCUUGAUCUCUUAAUCACUUCCGUGAAUUUGAUCGAUAUGAUUACAUGUACGCUAGACCCGUAGGGAGAUGCAACAAUAUGGCAGCAUGCAUUGUGUCGUUAAUUUGUUGCUAGUCUAGCUAUAUACUCCUAUCACCUAUACUAUGAGCUUAAUUAGUUCUUCAGCAUGUACAGUACGUACUGGCAGGCCUUGUAAGCUAAACAAUAAAUAAUGCUUAACAUUCUUCAUGUUCCUUCGCACAUGCCACCUAAUUGUUGUUUUGUUUAAUGAGCAAAUCAGGAGAUACCAUUUUUUUAUAUAAAAAUUGGUACCUCCUAGUACCUAAGAUACUAAAUUUUAUAUUAAAAUUUUGAUACCUUUUGAUGCAUUCUUAAGGACUGUAAAAUUGCUCUUAUUUAAUUUGUCUCUCUUAUUUAUAUAUUUUGAAUAGAUCGAUGUAGCUUAGCCAUAUUCUAAGUUAAAUUAAAAUUUAACAGAUCAUACGAUCAAACCGUACUUGUUUGAAUCUCUUUUAGCCUAUGUUAUUGCUUUUGCUUGCAGUGCCAGAAUCUUUAAGAUCAGACACUUUCCACGGUUUCUCGAAAUGGAUAUCAAUGUCAGUUGGCACAUAUAUAUUACACUAUUUCACUGCUAUUUUGCUAUUGUAGUAGUGUUUUCAUCCGGAAGGUUUAUGCAUGAUUAAUAUUAUACUGUUCGCAAUAGAUUUGCCAUGGAUAUACUUCAAACAGUAGUUCUAGUUCGCAUGCAUAGGUAGAUUAAUUAUGAGAACAGAUACCCAACAGUGCUACGAAUUGUAACUAAAGGCGAAUUGAGAUACUGCAUGCAAGGUCGGUUGUAAAAUCUUUGUGGAAUAAAAGAGAAGGAAUGAAAACACAAAACAAAACCGUGGACUGCCCUAAAAACGUUGGAGUAAAUAUUCGUUAAUUAAAACAACGGACAUAAAACAACCAAACAACGUGUGGAGCGAAUGCACAGCGUUAGCUAUCCUAGCUGGAAACAGCAGAUAUAUAUAUAUAUAUAUAUAUAUAUANNNNNNNNNNNNNNNNNNNNNNNNNNNNNNNNNNNNNNNNNNNNNNNNNNNNNNNNNNNNNNNNNNNNNNNNNNNNNNNNNNNNNNNNNNNNNNNNNNNNNNNNNNNNNNNNUAUAUAUAUAUAUAUGCGAUAAUUUCAACACUAGAAUCCGAUCGAUUAAUCAAAAUUCGGAUGAGAUACUGGUGUCAUGAUUCAAGGUGUACAACGUAGUUAAAUCAUCUGUAUCAAAUAAGGAGAUCGAUACAGAUCCAAUACUUGAGCGGUCAUUUUUUUUUGUUUAAUUCUUGCUCUGGAUAUCGAUUUAGUUAAUUAGCAUGCAUAUACUUAUGACAUAUAUGACCAACUACUCAAGUUUGUCCUAUGGAGAAACUAUAUGCAUGAAAAUCGCUAGCUAGCUAGCUAGAUAACGAUCGACGCAUCGAUCUGACCAUUUGAAAUCUUAACACGGGCAAUAAGUAAAAUGUAAUAAAUAUGCUUUUUUUUUAAGAACAUGGGAAUUGGAGAGGCAGCCAGCGAUAUAUACUCAUACUACAGCUGCUAUGCAGUUAUAUAUGUACACACUUGAACGCGAGACUGCAUGCAUCGAUGCGAAAUCGAGUGCACAGUUGGGAGAAAACGUACAUACCUUGAGCCAGUCGGAGUCCAUGCAAAUAUGCAUCGGGGGAGCUCCUGCCAUCAUCGAUCGCCGCCUCUUUCCUCUAGCUAUAUAUCUGCCGUCGUGCUGUUCUGCCGAAUCAAAGUUACGUUCAAGCAAAGAAAAACCUAUACGUAGAUUAGAUAGAUGAUACUCCUGCGACUAUCUCUGCCGGGUGAUUAACUAACACUACUCCAUGCGAUGCACUAGGAUUGUCGACGAAUAAUCGAAGGAUAGACGACGGAACACAAUUAGCACAAUAAGAGAGCUCGGACUAAUCGAUGGAUCUAGCUAGUAAGAAGAACAUAGCAACAACAACAAGAAGAAGCUAGCUAGCUAGGUAG
rnacentral:lncRNA from 1 species